rnacentral:rRNA from 1 species
AUUGAACGCUGGCGGCAGGCCUAACACAUGCAAGUCGAGCGGAUGAAGGGAGCUUGCUCCUGGAUUCAGCGGCGGACGGGUGAGUAAUGCCUAGGAAUCUGCCUGGUAGUGGGGGAUAACGUCCGGAAACGGGCGCUAAUACCGCAUACGUCCUGAGGGAGAAAGUGGGGGAUCUUCGGACCUCACGCUAUCAGAUGAGCCUAGGUCGGAUUAGCUAGUUGGUGGGGUAAAGGCCUACCAAGGCGACGAUCCGUAACUGGUCUGAGAGGAUGAUCAGUCACACGGGAACUGAGACACGGUCCAGACUCCUACGGGAGGCAGCAGUGGGGAAUAUUGGACGAUGGGCGAAAGCCUGAUCCAGCCAUGCCGCGUGUGUGAAGAAGGUCUUCGGAUUGUAAAGCACUUAAAGUUGGGAGGAAGGGCAGUAAGUUAAUACCUUGCUGUUUUGACGUUACCAACAGAAUAAGCACCGGCUAACUUCGUG